rnacentral:rRNA from 1 species
AUUGAACGCUGGCGGCAUGCCUUACACAUGCAAGUCGAACGGUAACGGGCCUUCGGGUGCCGACGAGUGGCGAACGGGUGAGUAAUGUAUCGGAACGUACCUUUCAGUGGGGGAUAACGUAGCGAAAGUUACGCUAAUACCGCAUAUUCUGUGAGCAGGAAAGCAGGGGAUCGCAAGACCUUGCGCUGAUUGAGCGGCCGAUAUCAGAUUAGCUAGUUGGUGAGGUAAAGGCUCACCAAGGCGACGAUCUGUAGCGGGUCUGAGAGGAUGAUCCGCCACACUGGAACUGAGACACGGUCCAGACUCCUACGGGAGGCAGCAGUGGGGAAUUUUGGACAAUGGGGGCAACCCUGAUCCAGCCAUGCCGCGUGCAGGAAGAAGGCCUUCGGUUGUAACUGCUUAGUCUAGGAAAAGGGUAGACGAGGUUAAUACCUACGUGCUUUGUAUGGUACUGGAAGAAUAAGCACCGGCUAACUACGUGCCAGCAGCCGAC